GAGCUGUAUGAAAGGAAAGAAAGUUAGUCCUCCCUUUGACAAGAUUAUAAAAGGUUUUACAACUGGCCUACCACACAUGUACGGUAUAUAAAAUGGGUAUACAUCAAUCAGCCAUAACAUUAA